UGGGGGAUAUUGCACAAUGGGGGAAACCCUGAUGCAGCGAUGCCGCGUGAAUGAAGACGGCCUUCGGGUUGUAAAGUUCUGUCGCAGGGGACGAAAAUGACGGUACCCUGCAAGAAAGCUCCGGCUAACUACGUGCCAGCAGCCGCGGUAAUACGUAGGGAGCAAGCGUUGUCCGGAAUUACUGGGUGUAAAGGGAGCGUAGGCGGGAGGAUAAGUUGAAUGUGAAAUCUAUGGGCUCAACCCAUAGCUGCGUUCAAAACUGUUCUUCUUGAGUGAAGUAGAGGCAGGCGGAAUUCCUAGUGU
rnacentral:rRNA from 1 species